rnacentral:rRNA from 1 species
UGUUUCUUAUCCGAAACAUUUUUUUGUGCUAGGGGGUGGGGGUGGGGAUGGCAGAGGUGUUUAGUUGAUGAACAAUGAUGAUAUGCAGUUUGUUGAGUAUUUAAUUUUUCAGAGCUGACUCUGUAAUUUAAGUCACUGUAAAUUGAUUUUGUAAGUUUUCAGAGUUGACUCUGUAAAUCAAGCCAGCAAACUGUUAUCUGCCCGUCAAACAAAUCCCAGUCCUUUUUUGUGUCUAACAUCAUUGUUCGUGCCCGAUAAACUAAUAUUUUUUUAGAGCAUACAUCAUGUGUUUUUCAGUUUUUCUAUUUUGUUCAGAGAGCAUGCAUUUUUAUAUUCAGAGAGUGCGUCUAACCAGUUAGUAUUCAGAGAGGAUCAUGUUUUUUUUAUUUUUUAUUUCCUCAAGCUAUUUAUGUCUAAUGCUUUUGCCUGCCCAACUAUAAGUGCACCAUCAGUGCAACAUAUAGAGACCAGUAACUCUACAGAAUCAUUUCAGCCAGCUGACAAACGAGGAGGAUCAGUCAAUGUUCAGAUAGUUUGAAACAUGAUUUUCAGUAAUAUUCAGUAAUCUGUUUUUUUAUCAGAGAGUUGACCAUCAGUCAAUGUUCAGAGUUUUUCAACUCAUGAGUAAAUGCUUAGAGAGGAUGACUUGAUCUUUUUUCCUUUCCUAGUAGUAAUCUCAGCUUUGUAAAUAGUCAAUGUUCUGGUUUAAUUAGUACUGUAGUUUUUCUCAAUGUACACAUAACUUUUUUUUAACUUAGGUUCUUUUUUUGUGUUUUUUUUUAAACAUGAGCUUUUAAACAAAGAUACAAUUCCAGAGCCUUUGGAGUCAAACAACAACAGUCAAAAUGAUGGUUCAGGGGAUGAUAGCAUGGAUGAGCAAGAGGAGCAAAGUAUAGUCGAUAUGACAGAAUCAGAUGCAUCAGACGGCAUGCUGAUCGAUGGCCUGAGAACAUUUUUACAGAAAAGACAAGAGAGGAAGCAGGAGAGGAGUGCUUUGAAAGAGAAAAGGAAGAAGAGGACAAGGCCAGAGAAAGGAAAAGCCAAAGGGCACAUGAACAAAGGAAGAGCAACUGCAUACAGCAGGUUUAGCAUUGGAUAUUUCGCGAAGAUUGUUGAUGUUGUGUGCCAAAGCAAUCAUAGGAUGGAGGUUGUGAGGAACGGCGGUUUUGGAUACUUGCUCGAGCUAGAAGAUUGCUAUGUUCCAAGGCCUUUUGCUCGAAUGGAAGAGGCAGGAAGAAGAGAAUGAAGACUAGUACACAGCAGUCAGAAACUUCAACAACUAAGGACAAUAUAUUGGAAGUUAAAAUAAAGGAAAGCAGACUUGAAGCAGCUGUGGAAGGAGGGGAAGCUGAAAUGCAGUCAGUACCGGGCAAUGGUCACACGAAAGAGCUCGAAAAAGAAGCUUUAAUGGAACAAACCAUGCAGAAUAGCAACGUCGCAACACAGCAACCAGAGAUGAAUAUGCUUGAUGCAGAUACCAAUUUUCCCAAGUGCAAUGCUAGUGAUUGUUCGACUCAAAAAGAAGCACCUGAAAAGAGCACUAGCCUGAACUACAUGUUGUUAUCAGCUAGAUUGGCAAGAGCACUUGAAACGACAGAACAAGACAUGAACUCAAAGGAUGAAGCCAACACACAUGUACCACCAACUUUCUCAGGUUUCCAACAUAACACUGUUAACAGUAAUCAAUCUGAGCAUUGCACCGAAAGCAAGACAAUGUAUCAAGCAAACGAAGCAGCAGCAAUUGAGUGUGUGGAAUUAGAUACCACUGCCUCCCCACAAGACAACAAUAACCAAGAUGAUUUUCGUUUCAAUGAAGUCAGGGAGCAGGGGAAACAUGCAGGACUUGAUAUUGAUAUCAACAUACCACUAUCAAAUAGCGGUAUAGAUGACAAGCAGAAACAUGUGGAAGAUUUCCAACACACUAUGCAUCCAUUGGACAUUGCAAGACAAGUAUUUCUUUUUUGAUGAUAUGACACCUACCUGCAGAAUUUUUGUUGACCAUGAUGAUUGUGGGAACGAAAUAACAGAGCCAGAACUGUGGCGCGAUCUAGACACGGACUCGAAUGCAUAUGAAGCCCAGAUAGAGGAAGCUAAGAAAAAAUAUAAAUCGAAUACAAGUAAGGACAUAAUCAAAGGAUUCAGCUCACAGCAUGAGCAAACAGCACUGGGUGAUUCAUCCAUACAUUAUGCGCAGAAAGAGCCUGCGACAACAGAAAUGUGCAAGUACAGAAACUUUCUUCCUGGGUUCGAAGAAAUAGACGACAUUAUUGACUUGACAUGGGACAAUGCAAAAACGUGUUAUUACCCAAUGAGAACACAGAACUAUGAGAAUGAUGUAAGCUCAUCACAAAAGAACAAGAAGUUACUGAACACAUCCCUUUCAACAUUUUGUCCAAAUUUGCAAAGUUACUUGACAACACCAUUUAUUGGCAAGAGGCUUUUUACAGACGAGGUCAUCGAAGAAGAUGACCAAGAUGGGACCAAAGAUCAACCAAUCCCUGUCAUCGAUGAGUUGCAAUUAUCUCCGGACGUUCAAAUUCUGGGGGAGAGAGUAUUCAAUGGUUCAUGCUCUAACAUGGUAAACACAGCAGACAAUCUGUACAACAGCAACCUUACAUUAGGCAGUUACUCAAGUGGCAAGGAAAAUCUGCCUCCCAAAAGGCUUGUACGCCCAAGCAAGUAUCAAUGCUCACCUUUCGAUAACGAUCUGAGAGGCCCUCUCACGCCAUCUGAGAAGCAGCUACACAGCAACAUUGUGGCACUAGGCAAAAUUGAACCUGAUAGAAGGGCAGUGUUGGUCGAUAAAACCAGUCUAUCCCUUGGACAACUCGGCAAUUCAUUCGACACCAACGGACAUGUGGAAGCUUAUGUUUUCAAUGUUUUCUACCGGUUGCUCUUUCGUGAUAACCAUCCAAGGCAAUCAAAGAAGCACUACUUCUUCACUACUAUCGCUGAUUAUUUUCUUCAAGCAUGGACUACUGAAGAAGGAAGGAUAUCAAUGAGAAGGAGAGCACUUAUAAGUUUUAGUGGAGCAGGAACAACAUUGCCUCUACAUGAAAGUGAACGUCUGUUUUUUCCAUCAGUACAUCACGAGCACUGGAUAUUGUUUAUUGUUGAUAUUGUUGCAAGAAAAUUCAUUUUCCUAGAUUCAGUUUAUGAUGGCGAGUCACCCUUUCACAUGGAGGUAAAAGAUUUGAUGAUAAACAAUUUUCUCAAAACAUGGGAAGAGUCGAGACUCAGGAGAAUGGGGUUCAGAAACUUUGGUAUAGAAUACCCAAACAUGCCUAAGCAAAUUGGAAGAUGCUUGCGGGAUUUUUGUGCUCAAGUGGAUGCAAACUUUUGCUUCGCGGAAUCCUCUCCAGCCCCAAUUCAGGAUGAAGGACGUGGCAGAUGCAAGGGUCAGACUUGCUGUUGAUAUCCUCUUCAGCAAUCCUAACACUGAUGAUGAUGCCAAAAGACUUGUCAAGUACUUUCGUCAAUAAACUGGGAGUUGAGGACAACAUUGAUCUACAAGGGGGGGAGGGGCAAAAAGAAUGAAGAACUAAAGAAAUACUCUAGAUUUUUUAGAUGUCUUUCUCUUUUUUUUUGUACAUGUUUUUUGUGUUCGCUCGAUGAGUAUCUUGGGAAAAUCAACGGAUAUACCAGAGUAAUGCAAAGAAUUUUUUGUUCGGAUAAAAACAUUUUUUUACAUUGAAGGGUAAUGGAAAGUAUUUGUUUUGUCUUCUGUGCCAAUGCUUUUCUUAUUUGAACCUUCUUUUCUUUUUCUAUUUUUUAAAGAAUAUACUGCAUCAUUUUUUUUGGUGAAACUACUUCACAAAGACAAAAAGAAAAGGAGAAGCAAAUGCAGACAUCGGAUUUUUUCAAACGUGUCUACAGGAGAGGGGGGUGGGCGAAGAAAGUGCAAUGCAAAUGAAAUUACGAAACACCUCAAGCAAUAUAGAAGAAAUAAUAUGUGCAAAGUACUAUAUCCAGGACAAAUGCCUAGAGCCUGCAAAAGCUCUGCACCAGGAGCUGGGACGCCAUCAUCCCAUGUGACAGUUUGCAAUGCUAAAUCAGCCUCCUGGAAAUCUCUCUGCAUGUUGUCCAGUCACCGGAACGCAAUUGUUACUCACAACAGCAAGAGGAUGUGUCGAUGUUCCAAACUGAUGGCCCGGAUAGGCCAAUGA